rnacentral:rRNA from 1 species
UACGUAGGGUGCGAGCGUUGUCCGGAAUUAUUGGGCGUAAAGAGCUUGUAGGCGGUUUGUCGCGUCUGCUGUGAAAAUCCGGGGCUCAACCCCGGACUGCAGUGGGUACGGGCAGACUAGAGUGUGGUAGGGGAGACUGGAAUUCCUGGUGUAGCGGUGAAAUGCGCAGAUAUCAGGAGGAACACCGAUGGCGAAGGCAGGUCUCUGGGCCACUACUGAC